CGGCUGCUCGAGUGAUGGCCACUAUUACUGGGUUUAAAGCGUCCGUAGCUUGACUGUUAGGUCUCUUGGGAAAUCUUCACGCUCAACGUGAAGGCGUCUAAGAGAUACCGGCAGUCUUGGAACUGGGAGAGGUAAACCGUACUUCGGGGGUAGGAGUGAAAUCUUGUAAUCCUCGAGGGACGACCUAUGGCGAAGGCAGUUUACCAGAACAGCUUCGACAGUGAGGGACGAAAGCUGGGGGAGCAAACGGGAUUAGAUACCCCGGUAGUCCCAGCCGUAAACAAUGUGCGUUAGGUGUGUCGGUAACCACGUGUUACUGAUGCGCCGAAGAGAAAUCGUGAAACGCACCACCUGGGAAGUACGGUCGCAAGGCUGAAACUUAAAGGAAUUGGCGGGGGAGCACCACAACAGGUGGAGCCUGCGGUUUAAUUGGAUUCAACGCCGGACAUCUCACCGGAUAAGACAGCUGAAUGAUUGUCAAUCUGAAGGUUUUACAUGACUAGCUGAGAGGAGGUGCAUGGCCGUCGUCAGUUCGUACUGUGAAGCAUCCUGUUAAGUCAGGCAACGAGCGAGACCCACGCCGACAAUUGCCAGCAGCAUCUCCGGAUGGCUGGGGACAUUGUCGGGACCGCCUCUGCUAAAGAGGAGGAAGGAAUGGGCAACGGUAGGUCAGCAUGCCCCGAAUUAUCCGGGCUACACGCGGGCUACAAUGGACGGGACAAUGGGUAACAACACCGAAAGGUGCAGUCAAUCUCCUAACCCCGUCCUUAGUUAGGAUUGCGGGUUGCAACUCACCCGCAUGAAUCUGGAAUCUGUAGUAAUCGCGUUUCACUAUAGCGCGGUGAAUACGUCCCUGCUCCU
rnacentral:rRNA from 1 species